GAUGAACGCUGGCGGCGUGCCUAAUACAUGCAAGUCGAGCGAACGCACGAGAAGCUUUCUUCUCUGAUUUUGUCGGCGGUCGGGUGCUUAACACGUGUAUAACCUACCUAUCAGACUGGGAUAACUUCGCGAGACCGUAUCUAAUACCCGAUAAUAUUUUGAACCUCAUUGUUCAAAAGUUAGAUUAGGUCUUUCUUUCACUUAUAGAUUGAUCCGCGCUCAAUUAGCUAGUUGGUAAGGUAACUGCUUACCAAGGCAACGAUGCAUAGCCGACCUAAGAGGGUGAUCGGCCACACUGGAAGUGAGACACGGUCGAGACACUUACGGGAAGAAGCAGUAGAGAAUCUUACGCAAAGGGGGAGAGCGUGACGGAGCAAAGUGGCGUGAGUGAUGAAGGAGUUAGGAUGGUAAAACGAUGUUAUUAGGGAAGAACAAAUGUGUAAGUAACUGUGAACAUAUUGACAGUACCGAAUCAGAAAGCCACGGCUAACUACGUG
rnacentral:rRNA from 1 species